UGAGGAAUAUUGGUCAAUGGGCGCGAGCCUGAACCAGCCAAGUAGCGUGAAGGAUGACUGCCCUACGGGUUGUAAACUUCUUUUAUAAAGGAAUAAAGUGAGGCACGUGUGCCUUUUUGUAUGUACUUUAUGAAUAAGGAUCGGCUAACUCCGUGCCAGCAGCCGCGGUAAUACGGAGGAUCCGAGCGUUAUCCGGAUUUAUUGGGUUUAAAGGGAGCGUAGGUGGACAGUUAAGUCAGUUGUGAAAGUUUGCGGCUCAACCGUAAAAUUGCAGUUGAUACUGGCUGUCUUGAGUACAGUAGAGGUGGGCGGAAUUCGUGGUGUAGCGGUGAAAUGCUUAGAUAUCACGAAGAACUCCGAUUGCGAAGGCAGCUUACUAAACUGCCACUGACAUUGAUGCUCGAAAGUGUGGGUAUCAAACAGG
rnacentral:rRNA from 1 species